CACCCCACCAGCAACAGACUCCAGCGUUUCCACUGGCUUCUGCCCACCAAAUGCCAGUCCUCCUAAGGAGGAUGUGCCCUGAAAGAGCAUAUUGUGCAACUCACUUCACUGGGACCACAGAGCUCCAAAUUGAUGAGACAGGCAUGAACAAGGAAAUGAGGACAAGAGCAACCCCACUGUGUUUGUUUCAAGCCCUGCUAAAAAGUGACCUAGAACUGCAGAUUCCUUUGGUCCCAGGAAAGAUGUUCCAGUGAACAAGAGCCUACAAUGAGACAAUCAGGGUUCAGUUUUGCUUGUCUUCACCAGACAACUAAAGGGACAGACACCGGGCAGUCUUUUAUUUUAUGUAUCACCUCCUUGUCUAUAUAAAUUAA